rnacentral:rRNA from 1 species
CGAACGCUGGCGGCGUGCCUAAUACAUGCAAGUCGAGCGAAGUUUUUCUGGUGCUUGCACCGGAAAAACUUAGCGGCGAACGGGUGAGUAACACGUAAAGAACCUGCCUCAUAGACUGGGACAACUAUUGGAAACGAUAGCUAAUACCGGAUAACAGCAUUAACUGCAUGGUUGAUGUUUAAAAGUUGGUUUUGCUAACACUAUGAGAUGGCUUUGCGGUGCAUUAGCUAGUUGGUGGGGUAAAGGCCUACCAAGGCGACGAUGCAUAGCCGACCUGAGAGGGUGAUCGGCCACACUGGGACUGAGACACGGCCCAGACUCCUACGGGAGGCAGCAGUAGGGAAUCUUCCGCAAUGGGCGAAAGCCUGACGGAGCAACGCCGCGUGAGUGAAGAAGGAUUUCGGUUCGUAAAGCUCUGUUGUUAGGGAAGAAUGAUUGUGUAGUAACUA